GCGAGGGUAAUUCAAUGGUAGAAUGUAAGCUUCCCAAGCUUAUCACGCGGGUUCGAUUCCCGUCCCUCGCUUCA
rnacentral:tRNA from 1 species